GCAUCUUUAGCUGAAUUGGUACAGCAAUUGCCUUCGAAGCAAGAGUUUAUUGGUUCGAGUCCGAUAAGAUGUU
rnacentral:tRNA from 2 species